UCCUUCUUAUCGAAGGCAGUUCCCGAAGAGUGCAUUCCUUGCGGAAUUAGCAACAUCGGAUGGGGGUUGCGCUCGUUGCGGGACUUAACCCAACAUGUCACCACACGAGCUGACGACAGCCAUGCAGCACCUGUCACUCUGUCGUAUUGCUACGAAGACCGUAUCUCUACGGCUGUCAGAGGAUGUCAAACCCAGGUAAGGUUCUUCGCGUUGCUUCGAAUUAAACCACAUGAUCCACCGCUUGUGCGGGCCCCCGUCAAUUCCUUUGAGUUUUAGUCUUGCGACCGUACUUCCCAGGCGGGGUACUUAUUGCGUUAGCGCCGGUUCAGCGGGGGUCAAGACCCACCAAACCUAGUACCCAUCGUUUACAGCGUGGACUAC
rnacentral:misc_RNA from 1 species